AACGAACGCUGGCGGCAGGCUUAACACAUGCAAGUCGAACGCCCCGCAAGGGGAGUGGCAGACGGGUGAGUAACGCGUGGGAACAUACCCUUUCCUGCGGAAUAGCUCCGGGAAACUGGAAUUAAUACCGCAUACGCCCUACGGGGGAAAGAUUUAUCGGGGAAGGAUUGGCCCGCGUUGGAUUAGCUAGUUGGUGGGGUAAAGGCCUACCAAGGCGACGAUCCAUAGCUGGUCUGAGAGGAUGAUCAGCCACAUUGGGACUGAGACACGGCCCAAACUCCUACGGGAGGCAGCAGUGGGGAAUAUUGGACAUGGGCGCAAGCCUGAUCCAGCCAUGCCGCGUGAGUGAUGAAGGCCUUAGGGUUGUAAAGCUCAUUCACCGAUGAAGAUAAUGAAGGUAGUCGGAGAAGAAGCCCCGGCUAACUUCGUGCCAGCAGCCGCGGUAACAC
rnacentral:rRNA from 1 species